rfam:Candidatus Magnetoglobus multicellularis str. Araruama Cont1692, whole genome shotgun sequence.
AAAGUCCUUGUCAGGUAAGGAUUAGCCAUCCACCUGUACCGAGUCUUGCGUGAUUGGGAAGGAUAGAUAUACCAUCGAACGACCCACACGAAGCGUACACAGGGAAUCAUAUAGGCCACAGGGAGAAUGUGCUCUCCUGAAGCAUGGUACAGCGUCGUAAAAGGUGAUUAGUAGCAAUCGGUUAUGUUGUCAAUGAAACAGAAGCCAACACUAAAGAAUCAUUAAUGGCAAGAUUCUGGAUGGAUUGUCGGCGUCAUCAGGGCG